UACGGGGGGGGCAAGCGUUGUUCGGAAUUACUGGGCGUAAAGGGCUCGUAGGCGGCCAACUAAGUCCGACGUGAAAUCCCCAGGCUUAACCUGGGAACUGCGUCGGAUACUGGAUGGCUUGAAUUCGGGAGAGGGAUGCGGAAUUCCAGGUGUAGCGGUGAAAUGCGUAGAUAUCUGGAGGAACACCGGUGGCGAAGGCGGCAUCCUGGACCAAUAUUGACGCUGAGGAGCGAAAGCCAGGGGAGCAAACGGG
rnacentral:rRNA from 1 species